rnacentral:rRNA from 1 species
CGGGGUGAGUAAUGCUUGGGAAUCUGGCUUAUGGAGGGGGAUAACUACGGGAAGCUGUAGCUAAUACCGCGUAAUAUCGAAAGAUUAAAGUGUGGGACCUUCGGGCCACAUGCCAUAGGAUGAGCCCAAGUGGGAUUAGGUAGUUGGUGAGGUAAAGGCUCACCAAGCCGACGAUCUCUAGCUGGUCUGAGAGGAUGACCAGCCACACUGGGACUGAGACACGGCCCAG